rnacentral:lncRNA from 1 species
AAACCGGGUUCUGGUGCCGAUUCCUGAUAAAUGACCUCUGCACUCGUGCGUGUGCGUGUGUGUGUAGAGUGUGUGUGACGUCAGCUCACACGUGAUCCUCCUAUUCUGUCGACUGUCUCUUCAGAUCGUCAUCAUCAGGAACCAUCAGGCGGUUCUUUGCUUCCUCUGGAAUUAUGGGCUGUUUGGACGCUGCGGCCCUUCCGCGCGCCCCCUCUUCCGCGCGCCUCCUCUUCCGUGCACCGCCUCUAAUCCACCUGCAGGCGUGAGAGAAGGCUGAUCCUGCGCGCACGCGCACUCGCGCAUGUGCCCGUCCUGCAGGACUUCAUCAGAUUACAACAUCCGAAAACUUGCGCAGCCGAACCGGGGCUCUAAGUAAAGCCGCCGCCGCGCUGCGUGCGCGCCGCCAGGGGGCGCGCUCGCGGACUCGCGCACUCGCGGAGCGUCGCUGCUACAGAACCCCCCUCAGAAGCCGCUGCACACACUCGGACCAACACGGCCGCAGAUCCCCGGACAGCAUGUUCUGCAGACGGGCAUGGCAGAGGGUCGCGCCCCUGACGCGGAGGACGUUCGAACCCGCAACCAGAAACGUUCGGGCGCGGAAAAUGUCUUUCGGGGUUCCUGGUGGCUCCUUCAACACCACAUACUUUGUCCUGUGUGGGGGGGGGCUCACAGCUGCCCUCGUCUACGUGAGUAUCUGUGUGUGUGUGUGUGGGUGUGUGUGUUCACGACUUUAUUUUGCUCGGUCAAACCAACCUUGUGUAUCUCUUUGUGGGGAAAAUGCUGCCCGCUGUUGCGUAACUCUGGCCCACACACGCGGUAUAUUUACAUGCACAGUUUAAGCUGUUUAAUUGGACUAUCGGCCUCAUCCCGGGGCCACGUGCACGGGAGCGUCGUUGGUUUAUUGGAGUCACGUCACCUCCACUGGGAUGGCUGGACGUUAGGGAUGUUAGGACGUGCUGUGUUGGGGAUUUUCCAGUUGACCUACGACAUCGUGGACCUCAGCAGACGGGAGGGUGUGAAGGGGGUCCAGACAUGAAGGUUCAGCUGACUCCUCUUGUUGAACCUUCAUCUCUGGACCCACUUCACACCCUCCCAUCUGCUGAGGGUG